GUUGUUAUCCCUCCAUAAUCCAUAUUUGAAACUAUAGGUACAAGUCAUUCAAAAAAAACUAUAGGUACAAGUCAUUCAUUGAUCAUUGUGAUUCAUAUUUGAAACUAUAGGUACAAGUCAUUCAAAAAAAACAUGUUUACAUACCAAAUUGCAAAUUACAUUUACAAGCCAACAAGUGUGGCAUACCAUCACGUGUGUAAAUUUUAAGUGGCCCAUAUACAUUAUCGUGAUGCAAAUACACGGCUAACACGGCCAAAUGGCUUGAUAAUAUAACUCAUGUCAUUACAUAUUACAAACAAAACAUGGCUAGGUUCAAGGAUGGUCCAAUGUAAGCAAAGAGGCAGCAAAAGCAAGGUCUGCAGCAUCAUGAACACACCUUGAUCUUUAUCAAACUUCAACCUAUACCACACAAAUUCGACCUAAAAUUUUAGCACACAUAUCAUGGCGUAUGAGAUACAACUCUUUAUUGACCAAAAUUCACUCACAUCACCAAAGCAAGGUGUUCAAAUUAGGGAACAACCUGCCGCCAUAAGCUAGCGGGUAGGCGCGAGACAGAAGACGUGCAAGCCACAGGUCUUGCAGUACCUAAUCAACUCAAUAACAGUCAAAUCAAAAGGCAAAUCAUGAAUAAGUGAGUGCAAGGUUACAGUGCAAGGCAUACCAUACAUGAUAUUAUGUAGAACAAUUGUGAACCAAAGUGAUUUGACUACACCAAGUUGAAUGCCAAUGGUACCAUGGAAUCAUGUUUUGGAACCUUGAAUACCAAUAACCAAUGUCGCUAGUAAGGACCAGGACAAGAAAUUGCAAGCAUGGAUAAUCUAGAAACAACGUAACCCUGUAGCCAAUAUCUUGCACCAUCAAACAAAUCAAUUACCUAGAAGACAUGCGUAGCAAACUGCAUUCAGAAAUCGUUACUCAGUCAUGUUCAGCACAAAACAAAGCCAUAUGUUGCUAAACCACCCAGAAAAUCAUACUAACCUGUUGGAACCCUGUUGCAUCCACAUAAAACACCAUCAUUACGCCAAAAUGGCCAGAACCAUGCUUUAACCUUCAGUCUGCAUUUGACUAUUGGUAACCAUGGCUAAGCCUCAAGCAUACAACCACAGGUUUCUCUUGUUUUAGGUCACUUAUAGUACAACAAGGAUUCCCAAAGUGAAUGGCAUGGGAAACAUCAGUAGGAUAACUAAAAACUAAUACAACAAGUAUCUUGUAUCAAUGCUAAACCACGAUGCAGAUCCAAGCUCAAUCCAACCAUGGAAUCCAUCAUUGCUCAUGAGGUAGACCAAGCAAGAACCCUGCUGCAUAAUAUAUGCCACAAGCAAAAUGCUAUGAAAUAAUAUAUCAUGAUGCAAGACCAAGAUCACAUAAAUCAAGGCAUACAUAAAACAUCAAUACAGACACCAAUUGAACUAAUAUUCAUGAAUUACCAUAUGAACUGCAUACCUGCAACAAAUUUCUAGUCCAUUAUCUAACAUCCAUAGCCAAACAAUCAAGGAAAGGAAAGUCACUAAAGUAUCACGAUGCCAAUGGCAGAGUCCAUGUGUCCAUCAUGAGAACAAUUUAUCAUGCUCUCUUACAAUAGCUACAUCAAAAAUAGAGGCUAAAUGAAUUGUGUUCUGGUAGCAAGCACACCAUACCCUGAACAAAUGAACUGCAAAAGACGGUACAUGUUAAUUCAUUCAGUGGUACACGAUUGGACAAAAAUCAGAUUACAUGAUAGUAAAAAAAUAGUUUCUUACCAUAACAAAUCCAGGUGUUACAACAGUAAGAAUUCAAUAAAAUUCAGCACGAAAUAGCUACACCUUACGCUACAAACAUAUUCGUACACACCACCCUCAUUUGGGGACCACAUCAAAUCUGAGAAGGAUUUGUUUUUCCAACGGAAUGAUUUGCUGUGAUUUUCCAGCUCAUGGUGCGUACACCAUCCCUAAACCUCAGAUCUCCUCUCUAUAUAAAGAGACUUCAUUCAUUGAGAAAGGGGGCGAUACCAAACCUCUGUUGAAAUUCCCAUUGAACCUUGCAAUCAAAGCUCAGUUAAUAUCAACCUCAACUCUGAUUUUCACAUCGAAAAUCAGAGUUUGAAGAGCUCAAAUCCUUCAACAAAAUACGAACAAGGAAUCACUAUAAAGAAGGAUCGAAGAAGCAGGAAGAGCAGACAAAGCACAUACCUACUUAUUCGUCUCUGAAGCAUCUCGAGUUGGUAAGAGUUUAACCCUAUACUCCUUGCUCUAUUUGAUUUUGAUGCAACUGAAUGUAUGUGUGGUCUGUUUUCCUUCUGCGUGAUUUGUGCCUCGACACAUCAAUGAUUUGUUCUCGUCUUUCGUUUUAAGGUUCUUGUGUUGUGUUUGAGUUCUUGUUUUUUCUGAUAGAACUUUAUGGUAGUUCAUGGUUUACACUGAUAAAUAUAGAUCUACUUUCUUGUUGUUGAGAUGAAACCUUGGUUUUCAUUGAGUUUUGUUUUAAGAAAAAAUGACGAAUAUUGCAAAUAGAGAGGGAGAGAUUUAGAUGGGGAUGGAAACAUUUGAGUCUUUAUCUGUUGCUUGGUUUCUGUUGGUUUUAAGCGUGAGUUAGAGAUCAUUGAUGAGGAAUCUCUCCUCACUCACUGCCUGAGGACUACUGCCGCAUGGGUACCCUUUUGCAUUAAUAAUCAUUGCCUUAGUUUCCUUCCCUUUUCAUGUGACCGUUGGAAUCAGAAAGGAUUGUUUCUUCUUUCUUCGUGAAUUCCCCUACAGUGGGAAGGAUUUGGUUGAGAUCCAACCUAGUUUUCAAGUUGGACCGGAGCAGAUUUCACCCCAUGGGCUUCCUGGGUUCCGACCCAUUUGUUUACCUUGCUGAUUGUGUGCCCUAAUGGGCUUCAGGGCCCAUUUGUGUUAUUGUUGUGAUAAUUCAUUCUUUUUUUAGCAUAAGAUUUAAUUUGAUUGUUUUUUAAAACAUGAAUUUUAUUUGUUAAUUAAAACUUUAUUAUCCUAUUUAUUUAACAUCAAUUAUAUAGUUUAUUACUAUUUAAUAAAAUAAUAUGUUGUAUUAUCAUCAUUUAUUACUUAACAUAAUUUAGACCAUUUUCCACUUUUGGGAUUUAUUUGAA
rnacentral:lncRNA from 1 species